rnacentral:rRNA from 1 species
UACGGAGGGGGCUAGCGUUGUUCGGAAUUACUGGGCGUAAAGCGCACGUAGGCGGCUUUGUAAGUUAGAGGUGAAAGCCCGGGGCUCAACUCCGGAACUGCCUUUAAGACUGCAUCGCUAGAAUUGUGGAGAGGUGAGUGGAAUUCCGAGUGUAGAGGUGAAAUUCGUAGAUAUUCGGAAGAACACCAGUGGCGAAGGCGACUCACUGGACACAUAUUGACGCUGAGGUGCGAAAGCCAGGGGAGCAAACGGG